rnacentral:rRNA from 1 species
AACGAACGCUGGCGGCAUGCCUAACACAUGCAAGUCGAACGAGACCUUCGGGUCUAGUGGCGCACGGGUGCGUAACGCGUGGGAACCUGCCCUUAGGUUCGGAAUAACUCCCCGAAAGGGGUGCUAAUACCGGAUAAUGUCUUCGGACCAAAGAUUUAUCGCCGUUGGAUGGGCCCGCGUUGGAUUAGCUAGUUGGUAGGGUAAAAGCCUACCAAGGCGACGAUCCAUAGCUGGUCUGAGAGGAUGAUCAGCGACACUGGGACUGAGACACGGCCCAGACUCCUACGGGAGGCAGCAGUGGGGAAUAUUGGACAAUGGGCGAAAGCCUGAUCCAGCAAUGCCGCGUGAGUGAUGAAGGCCUUAGGGUUGUAAAGCUCUUUUACCCGGGAUGAUAAUGACAGUACCGGGAGAAUAAGCUCCGGCUAACUCCGUG